AGAGUUUGAUCCUGGCUCAGAACGAACGCUGGCGGCAUGCCUAACACAUGCAAGUCGAACGAGACCUUCGGGUCUAGUGGCGCACGGGCGCGUAACGCGUGGGAAUCUGCCCUUAGGUUCGGAAUAACUCAGGGAAACUUGAGCUAAUACCGGAUAAUGACUUCGGUCCAAAGAUUUAUCGCCCAGGGAUGAGCCCGCGUCGGAUUAGCUAGUUGGUGAGGUAAAAGCUCACCAAGGCGACGAUCCGUAGCUGGUCUGAGAGGAUGAUCAGCCACACUGGGACUGAGACACGGCCCAGACUCCUACGGGAGGCAGCAGUGGGGAAUAUUGGACAAUGGGCGAAAGCCUGAUCCAGCAAUGCCGCGUGAGUGAUGAAGGCCUUAGGGUUGUAAAGCUCUUUUACCCGGGAUGAUAAUGACAGUACCGGGAGAAUAAGCCCCGGCUAACUCCGUGCCAGCCGCCGCGGUAAUAC
rnacentral:rRNA from 1 species